GGCCAAGUGGUAAGGCAGGGGCCUGCAAAGCCCUUAUUCGCGGGUUCGAAUCCCGCC
rnacentral:tRNA from 1 species